AGAGUUUGAUCCUGGCUCAGAGCGAACGCUAGCGGCGGGCUUAACACAUGCAAGUCGAGCGGAGGGGCAACCCUUAGCGGCGAACGGGUGAGUAACGCGUAGGUAACGUGCCUUCAGGUGGGGAACAACCGUGGGAAACCAUGGCUAAUACCGCAUAAUGUCGAAAGAUGAAAGCCUUCGGGCGCCUGGAGAGCGGCCUGCGUCCCAUUACCUAGUUGGUAGGGUAACGGCCUACCAAGGGAACGAUGGGUAGCUGGUCUAAGUGAUGAUCAGCCACACUGGAACUGAGACACGGUCCAGACUCCUACGGGAGGCAGCAGUGGGGAAUAUUGCGCAAUGGGGGAAACCCUGACGCAGCCACGCCGCGUGAGUGAAGAAGGCCUUCGGGUCGUAAAGCUCUGUCGGGAGAGACGAAGGGGUAAAACUCUGACGGUAUCUCGUAAGAAAGCACCGGCUAACUCUGUGCCAGCAGCCGCGGUAAUACAGAGGGUGCAAGCGUUGCUCGGAUUUACUGGGCGUAAAGCGUACGCAGACGGACCGUCAAGUCGGGAGUGAAAGCCCUGGGCUCAACCCAGGAACGGCUUUCGAUACUAGCGGUCUUGAGUUUGGGAGAGGGAAGCGGAAUUCCUGGUGUAGAGGUGAAAUUCGUAGAUAUCAGGAGGAACACCGGCGGCGAAGGCGGCUUCCUGGCCCAAUACUGACGUUCAGGUACGAAAGCGUGGGUAGCAAACAGGAUUAGAUACCCUGGUAGUCCACGCUGUAAACGAUGAGUGCUGGAUGUCGGAGGUAUUCACCCCUUCGGUAUCGAAGCUAACGCGUUAAGCACUCCGCCUGGGGAGUACGGCCGCAAGGUUGAAACUCAAAGGAAUUGACGGGGGCCCGCACAAGCGGUGGAGUAUGUCGUUUAAUUCGACUACGCGCAGAACCUUACCCAGCCUUGACAUCCUUGGAACCGAGUGGAAACACUUGGGUGCUCUCGCAAGAGAGAGCCAUGAGACAGGUGCUGCAUGGCUGUCGUCAGCUCGUGUCGUGAGAUGUUCGGUUAAGUCCGGCAACGAGCGCAACCCCUGUCUUCAGUUGCCAUCAUUCAGUUGGGCCCUCUGGAGAGACUGCCGGCGUCAAGCCGGAGGAAGGUGGGGAUGACGUCAAGUCCUCAUGGCCUUUAUGGUUGGGGCUACACACGUACUACAAUGAUGACUACAAAGGGCAGCCAACCCGCGAGGGGGAGCAAAUCCCAAAAAAGUCAUCUCAGUUCGGAUUGCAGUCUGCAACUCGACUGCAUGAAGUCGGAAUCGCUAGUAAUCGCGGAUCAGCAUGCCGCGGUGAAUACGUUCCCGGGCCUUGUACACACCGCCCGUCACACCACGAAAGUUGGAUGGACCCGAAGUCGCUGCUCCGACCCGCAAGGGGGGAAGGCGCCAACGGUCUGUUCGAUGAUUGGGGUGAAGUCGGAACAAGGUA
rnacentral:rRNA from 1 species